GACGAACGCUGGCGGCGUGCUUAACACAUGCAAGUCGAACGGAAAGGCCCUGCUUUUGUGGGGUGCUCGAGUGGCGAACGGGUGAGUAACCUGUGAGUAACCUGCCCUUGACUUUGGGAUAACCUCAGGAAACUGGGGCUAAUACCGGAUAGGAGCUCCUGCUGCAUGGUGGGGGUUGGAAAGUUUCGGCGGUUGGGGAUGGACUCGCGGCUUAUCAGCUUGUUGGUGGGGUGGUGGCUUACCAAGGCUUUGACGGGUAGCCGGCCUGAGAGGGUGACCGGCCACAUUGGGACUGAGGGACGGCACAGACUGCUACGGGAGGCAGCAGUGGGGAAGAUUGCACAAUGGGCGGAAGCCUGAUGCAGCAACGCCGCGUGCGGGAUAACGGCCUUCGGGUUGUAAAACGCUUUCGCCUGUGACGAAGCGUGAGUGACGGUAAUGGGUAGAGAAGCACCGGCUAACUACGUG
rnacentral:rRNA from 1 species